UUGUGCUUGAGUAGGAAAGAUAUCAAACAGUAAAAGUAAUUUUGCUCAACCAAAUAAAUGAUACCAAACAUGCAAACAUAAAGAAAUAAAUUCAAAACAGUUUCACAAAAAAACCCUCUUAUUUCUUUUUCCAGGUGAUAAUAACUUGCAUUAUUGGCUUCAAAAUCCGAGAGAAUGUUAUUGACGACUACCACAAUAUUGGCAAUUCUUUCCUCAUGGGAACUGUAGCAUUGGGUAGGCAUGGAUUAUUGUAUUCUUAAUCGAUACAUAUUAUGUAUCUAACUACUAUUUAUUUAUUAUUCACAUACUCAGUUUUUUUUUCAUGUACCUGGUUGCUACACACAAUAGCUAUGUAUGUAUAUAUGAUGUUCCAAAUUCUCACAAACUUUGUUGUUAUAUGCAUUCUUGUUAAGCACUUAGUUGUCAUGUACCUCAUAAUCAUAAACCACACACCAUUUAGUAAAUUCCUAUGUAAAAGACCCCCUUUGGUCAUGAAUGACCAUGGGAUUGCACCUACAAAGUUACCUUCCAACACACAAGUCCAGGCAAGGUUGUUUUUAUGGAAUACCCACAGUCACCCAUGCAUACCAGCCUCCACACCACAAAUGUUAUCCAAGGGAAAGGUAAAAGCUGAUACAGCUUGGCACCAGUGAUGUUGCAACUCAUUUCUACAGCUGAGUGAACUGGAGCAACAUGAAAUAAAGUGUCUUGCUCAAGAGCACAACAUACAGCCUGGUCCAGGAAUUGAACUCACUACCUGAUGAUAGCGAGCCUGUAUGUGUUUAUUUGCUAUAUAACAAUAGUUACAUGUACCUGCUUGUUAAGUGUCCAACCGUUACAGUACCGAAAUAUGUACCAAGUAGCCAUGUUGAUAUGCCCUAGGGUUUUAUGCACAUACAUUUUUCUUAUGGCAGUUAUUCCAUAAAUCACCUUUUUAUUGGAUUUGUUUAGUGUGGAAAAAGAGCCCAUGACACUCGCAAGCCCUCCAAGGUCAUGGAGAACAAUAUGGUUGAUGUUUCUCUUGAAUAGACACAAGUUAACUAUUUUGGGGAAAAUAUAACCAAGGAGGGAAUUCUAGAAGGCAGAUGUUCUGCAGGAGAAGGAAUAGGUGUAGUGAAUAAUGUGGAUGGAUAAACGUGGGUAAUGAGAAAAAGAGAAAUGAUCGAGUCAGGAUAGUCUGAGCAGUUGUUGUUCUAGACCAACCAAUUUCAAUUGCUAGAGACCAUUGUAGUAGUGAUAUAAAAAUAGAGAGAUGACACUGCAUCUGUGGGAAGGAUAUUAGAGAGUGUUGAGAAGUAAUUUCUUGCCAGUCAGAUAGGUGACCUCUUUUUUUAUGCAAUCUAAGAUAUCUGUGGGAGUAGAGGCAGUACUGUCCUAGAUGUAAGAUUAGUAUUCUGCUGUGGGCCCUUCAGCUGAGCUUUGUCUAUUUUCUGGUCCUGAAGAAAAAAGCUAGUUUUUGUGAUAUGAAGGAUGUGUGUUUGCCAGGAGAGAUCUUCAGUGAACUUGAGGAUUCUAUUUGAGUACUGUUCGUGCUUAGGGGUAGGAUAUAAUACUGUUUUCUAAACGUGUAAUUGUUAUGUCAUUGUGCAAUUGAAGGAGAUAAAAUUUACAUAAUCCUAUUGGAGGAUGUUUUCAAAGUUUUUGCUCAUGGAAUCAGUGCAGGUUUGAAGCAAAGUAUCUAAUUUGCAGGUUUGAAACGAGGUAUGUGCAUCACAUUUGUAUGAGAAUGUUUAGAGAGGGUGGAAGGGCAGUAUCAUCCACAUAAGAAUGGCCAUUAUUCGAGGCAACAGCAAGUAGGACAUUGGGCUACAGGAGAAAAAAUUUAAGAUGAGCACCAAACUUUUUGGCACAUCAGAAUCAAUAGAGUGUAAGUCAGAGGAAGCUCCUUCAGUGCAUAUCUCAACAGUGCAAUUUGACAAAAGUUAUAGAUCCAAAAGAUGCAAACUAUAUGCAAAGAGGCAGAAAAGGUCUACUUACUAAGAGAUUUGUACAUUAGACAUGAUCAAAUACCUUGCUGAUGUUGGGCACAACAACACCGUUUUCACCAGAUUUCUCAUGAUUAAGGAAUCACUGUUAUGGAACAGAAAAGGGUCUCUUUUGAUGUAGUUUUAUGGAGGCUGUACUUGUGGUUAUUUAGUGGAUAGAGAAACUGAAGGUAUUGGAGAAGAAGGUUGUAAAUAGCUAUUGCCAUUACCUUACAAAUGUUGGAAGUGUGAUAGGACAAUAUUUGGCAGGGUUAGAGGGGUUGCUCUUUUUACAGAAUGUAGUAUGUUUCCAAACAUCAAAACAUAUUUCUGGGAAAAGAGAGUGAGGGAGAGAGAUUAAAAAGUAUAGUGAAAAUGAGAGCUAGUCUGGGUGCAUUGUUUAAGCAGAAUAGAAUGUACAUCAUCAAAGAUGGUGGCUUUGUUGCUUUGAUGUGACCAAAUGUAAAUUUACAAAAUAGCAUUUAUGCAUGCAUGGAUGAGUCUGGAAAAUGGAAAGGAAUAAUGUUUUAAAUUUACUAAAGUGGAGCAUGUGCAGUGUGGAGUUGGAUGCAAAGCAGUGAAUUAAUAUGAGGGAUUUUUUUCCAUUGGAGUCCUGCUAACAGAGACAUUAUGAUUGAGAAAUGAAGGAAAGGAGAAUUCCACAAAAUUAUUAGAGAUUCUUUUGUUAAGAGACCAGAAGGACUGGCUGCAGUUUGAUAAAUGGGACAUUUCUUUUAGCUGUACAAUACUUAGAGAAGUCCUUCACAUUUUGGAUGAUGAUCUUGCAAAAAUUGCAGGGUUGGUCAUUCAGUUUACAAUUUUUUGUUAUGUACCUCGACUGGCUUCCAUGCUGGUGGCACGUAAAAAGCACUAUCCGAAUCGUGGCCAAUGCCAGUGCCGCCUCGACUGGCUUCCGUGCCGGUGGCAUGUAAAAUGCACCAAUCCGACCGUGGCCGUUGCCAGCCUCGCCUGGCAACUGUGCAGGUGGCACGUAAAAAGCACCCACUACACUCACGGAGUGGUUGGCGUUAGGAAGGGCAUCCAGCUGUAGAAACAUUGCCAGAUAAGACUGGAGCCUGGUGUAGCCUUCUGGCUUCCCAGAUCCCCGGUCGAACCGUCCAACCCAUGCUAGCAUGGAGAACAGACGUUAAACGAUGAUGAUGAUGAUGAUGAUGAUGAUGUACCUACUUAUAUACUUAAUUAAUGUGUACCACAUUGCCAUUCAAACACAAAUGAUUGCUUGUUGUGUUCUUGGUUUUUUUUUUGUUCUUUUUUGCUUAAGUAAUUGUCAUCAUAAUUACCAUGUAUUUGUUGUCAUGUGUUUGUUCAUUACAUAUCUUUUGUUUGUAGCAUUUUGUACUUGAUAGUGAAACACCUUGUUACCAAGGUCCUUGGUAAGAAGCUAUAUGCUUUAUUAUUUGCAAUGUAGCUGUUUAAGUUGCCUGUUGCAGAGCUUCUUAUGUUACCUCAUUGUAUAUGGUAUAGCAGCCGAUUAGAUAUCUGAUGGUCUCUGGUGUAGCUAAUUAUGUAUCUGAUUAUGUAUUGUAUAACUUAUCCUAUUUGAUUGUCCAUGAUAUAGCUGUAUAGGUACCCAACUGGCUGCUGUACAGCUUCUUAUAUUUCCAGAUUGCUGGAUAUUUGACUGUCUGUUGUAUAGCUUGUGUGUGUGUGUUGUUGCAUGUCAUAUAGCUGGUUAGGUUCUUCAUCGUCCAUUGUAUUGAAUAGCUGCUUAUGUCUGAUCGUUAACAUUUCCAUUUCAGAAGUUUUAAUUCUUUUCCCUCAUUUUAUUAUAUCAGUACUAUAAUAAUAAUAAUAUCAAGUGUGUUGCAUAUAGUGCUCAAAUGUAGUACAACUCCUCAGAAAAGAUGAAAAGGGGAGACCAACUGCAAUAGUAAAACAUGUGAAUAAAGGAAGACAAUAAUGAAAUAUAUAUACAAUGUACUCAGAAUAUAACACAACACAAACAAAAAAAUAGGAUCACAAAAGAGCCUCAAAGAAGAAAAGAAUACUUAGGUAGGUCAAGAGUAGAAUGAAUAGUUAAUAGAUUAGGAAAGUAUUAAAUUUUUGAAGGACACAUUGCCCUAUUAGUUAAUGACUGAUGUGGGUAUCUCAUUCUUUGUUCCAACAAAUCUGAGUGUAAAGUUCUGGGUGUUGUGUUGUUUAAUAUUUUAAGCUCUUGUUUAGUCAUUAGACUGCAACCAUGCUGGGGCACCACAUUCAAGAAGUUUAGUCAAAUAAAUCAACCCCAGUACUUACUUUUUUUUAAGCUUGUUACUUAUUCUAUUGGUCUCGUUUGCCAAGCUGCUAAGUUACAGGAAUGUAAACACACAGACACUGGUUGCCAAGCAGUGGUGGCAGCAAACACAGACACAAAGACACACACAUAGAUGCACACACACAAACACACACACACACACACACACACACACACACACACACACACACACACACACACACACACACACACACACACACACACACACACACACACACACACACACACACACACACACACACACAUGAUGGGUUUCUUUCCAGUUCUGUCUACCAAACCCACUCACAAGACUUUGUUUGGCCCAAGGUUAUAGUAGAAGACACUUGCCCUAGGUGAUAUGCAGUGGAACUGAACCCAGAACCAUAUGGUUAUGAACCAAACUUUUUACUACACAUGUUUCUAGAUUUUAUUAGCAUGGCCAUUAGUGGUAGAGACAUUGAAUUCAAAAAGGUCAUCAAAGUUAUUGGAGUGGAAAUGGUGGCUAAUCUUGUGGGACUUUACCAUGUCAGCUGCUACACAUCAAAACUUUAAUGUCUCACUUCCUAUGAGGACAAGAUGUACAAGAUAUAUUAAGUGAAUGAAAGAGAUCAUUUGUCUGGUUACAUGUCUCUAGGCAGCUUUCAGUAGAUCAAUCUUCAGGACAAGAUGUGAGUUCCAAAAUAGAGAUGCAAACAGCUGAUAGAAGUCAUAGUGAGUAACAUCAAAAUACCAUUGGUCAUUAUUAUCCUUUCAGGGACAAUCAAAUAAAACAUCAGUCAUACACUGCAUUUGAUGGUAUCAACUGACACCUCCCUAAAAUUGCUGGUCAUCUAUGUAAAUCAUAAACCAUUAUUAUUAUUACUGUUAUUGUUGUCAUUGUUGUUGUUACUAUUAUUAUUAUUAUUAUUAUUAUUGGCUCAUGGCUCGCAGGACAGCAUGCUGUGCUAACCUUGGAUUAUAGAGUGACCCACUGUUCUUGAGGAGACCUACUGAGUCAAGUAUGUCAACACCAACAUCAAAAUAAAAAUCAAAUGGAAAUUGUAGUUAAGAUACCCAUGCCAGUGGCAUGUAAAAAUGACCAUCCGAAUGUGGCUGAUGCCAGCACUGCCUGACUGGUGUCUGUGUCGGUGACACGUAAAAAGCACCAACUGAUUGUGGCCGUUUGCCAGCCUCCUCUGGCCCCUGUGCUGGUGGCACAUAAAAAGCACUCACUACACUCACGGAGUAGUUGGCGUUAGGAAGGGCAUCCAGCUGUAGAAACACUGCCAGAUCAGACUGGAGUCUGGCGCAGCCUCCUGGCUUCCCAGACCUCAGUCGAACCAUCCAAACCAUGCUAGCAUGGAAAACAGAUGUUAAAUGAUGAUGAUGAUUAUUAUUAUUAUUAUUAGUAGUAGUAGUAGUAGUAGUAGUAGUAGUAGUAUAAGGUAGUGGAUAGGCAGAAUCAUUAUGGUAUAGGACGAAAUGGUUUGUGUUAUUUAGGUACAGCUCUUUAUAGUCUGGAUUCAAAUCCUGCCAAGAUCAACUUUGCCUUUCAACCCUCGAGGAUCAAUAAAAUAAAGUGCUAAAUGAUUAUUGACAGCAUUAAAAAGAAAAGAAAAACACUUUUGCAAUCAAACUGGUGUCUUUGAUAAAUAUUUUUUUCCACCAGGAUUGACUUUGUCUUUCAUCCUUUCAGAGUCGAUAAAAUAAGUAUCAGUUGAACACUGGGGUCAAUGUAAUCAAUUAUCUCCAUCCCCAAAAUGUCAGGCCUUGUGCCUUUAGUAGAAAGGAUUAUUAUUUUAUUCUUCAUUAAGACAGCAAUCUAGCAGUAACAUUAGCACAUCAAACAAAAUGCUAAGUGGCAUUUUAUCCAUCUGUACAUUCUGAGUUCAAAUUCUGCUAAGAUCAACUUUGUCUUCCAUCAUUUUGAGGUUGACUUUGCCUUCUAUCCUUUUAGGGUUGAUAAAAUAAACCCCAGUUGUGCACUGGGAGGUCAAUGUAAUCAACUUCUCCACACACACACACACACACACACACACAUUCCAAAAAAUUACUAGCCUUGUAUCAAAAUUUAAAACCAUUUGUUUAUUCCUCAUUAAGAUGAAGAGCUGGCAGAAUUGUUAGUGCAUUGAAAAAAAUACUUGAGGCACUUUUUCCAGCUUUUUACAUUCUAAGAUCAAAUUCCAUCAAAGUCAUCUUUGCCUUUCUUCCUUUUGGAGUCAAUAAAAUAAGUACAAGUUGAACACUGGUAUCAAUAUAAUCAGGUAACCCUCUCCCCUUAAAAUUGCUGGCCUUGUGCCAAAAUUUGAAACCAUAAAUUUAUUCUUCAUUCUUCUUUUAUUUUUAUUCUUCAUUUUUAUUUUAUUUUUAUUCUUCAUUUUAGGGGGAACUAUAUAUGUGAUGCCAUUUCUUUACAAAGAUAUUGUGCAAAAUAAAACAGAG
rnacentral:lncRNA from 1 species